UGGGGAAGUAUUGCACAAUGGGCGGCAAGCCUGAUGCAGCCAUGCCGCGUGUAUGAAGAAGGCCUUCGGGUUGUAAAGUACUUUCAGCGAGGAGGAAGGCGUUGUGGUUAAUAACCGCAGCGAUUGACGUUACUCGCAGAAGAAGCACCGGCUAACUCCGUGCCAGCAGCCGCGGUAAUACGGAGGGUGCAAGCGUUAAUCGGAAUUACUGGGCGUAAAGCGCACGCAGGCGGUCUGUCAAGUCGGAUGUGAAAUCCCCGGGCUCAACCUGGGAACUGCAUCCGAAACUGGCAGGCUAGAGUCUUGUAGA
rnacentral:rRNA from 1 species